UAAUACAUGCAAGUCGAGCGAAUGAUGAGGAGCUUGCUCCUCUGAUUUAGCGGCGGACGGGUGAGUAACACGUGGGUAAUCUGCCUGUAAGACGGGGAUAACUCCGGGAAACCGGGGCUAAUACCGGAUAAUAAGAGAAGAAGCAUUUCUUCUUUUUGAAAGUCGGUUUCGGCUGACACUUACAGAUGAGCCCGCGGCGCAUUAGCUAGUUGGUGAGGUAACGGCUCACCAAGGCGACGAUGCGUAGCCGACCUGAGAGGGUGAUCGGCCACACUGGGACUGAGACACGGCCCAGACUCCUACGGGAGGCAGCAGUAGGGAAUCUUCGGCAAUGGGCGAAAGCCUGACCGAGCAACGCCGCGUGAGCGAUGAAGGCCUUCGGGUCGUAAAGCUCUGUUGUUAGAGAAGAACAAGUACGAGAGUAACUGCUCGUACCUUGACGGUACCUAACCAGAAAGCCACGGCUAACUACGUGCCAGCAGCCGCGGUAAUAC
rnacentral:rRNA from 1 species